rnacentral:rRNA from 1 species
UACGAAGGGGGCUAGCGUUGUUCGGAAUUACUGGGCGUAAAGCGCGCGCAGGCGGUUGUGUAAGUCAGAUGUGAAAUCCCCGGGCUCAACCUGGGAAUGGCAUUUGAGACUGCACAGCUAGAGUGUGUCAGAGGGGGGGUAGAAUUCCACGUGUAGCAGUGAAAUGCGUAGAGAUGUGGAGGAAUACCGAUGGCGAAGGCAGCCCCCCUGGGAUAACACUGACGCUCAUGCACGAAAGCGUGGGGAGCAAACAGG